rnacentral:rRNA from 1 species
UUGACCUCGGAUCAGGUAGGGAUACCCGCUGAACUUAAGCAUAUCAAUAAGCGGGGAGGAAA